rnacentral:tRNA from 1 species
UAAAAGAUAAGCUAAAUAAAGCUGACGGGCCCAUAACCCGCCGAUGGUGUGACCUCUUUUAA